rnacentral:lncRNA from 1 species
AAAUAAUGUAGAUGUAAGAAACUAAUGGUCACCGUACAGCCUUCAACAAUGAGUACAAUACUUACCACACGGUAUAAAAAGCCCCGUCGUGAACAAUUGUGAAAAUAUUCGAAAAAAAAAAAAAAAAAAAAACCACCAAAAACCAACGUCAUAAUUUAUAUCAAAUUUAUAAAUAAAAAACAAGUUUGAAAGAAAGUUGUAGCACCCAACGAGUCGACAAUCAUUGGAUUACAUGAUCCUGGCUUGGGACGGGCACAUGAAGAAUAUGCCCGGGUUAACCAUGUUUGUGAGUCGCUUCGCUAUAAAUCCUCCAAUCACCUCGGACAGUAGCAUACCAACACAACAUAAGCACAAACUGUAAAAAAUAGUUGGACAUGUUCCGACUCAUCUUAUCGAUACGAAAACAUUAAAUCUUCUCACAUAAAGGCAAUUUGCUUACAUAUUUUUCUUCUUUUAGUACCAAAUUUUUUAUUUUUUAUUUUCUGUCUUUUAUCAUGUUUGGUUAAAUCAAGACAAUACACGCAAUGUACUCUUCUGUAAAUAUAAUAGCUUGUACACGCUUGUUUCUUCGUAUAUAUUACGGCUAAAGUAUAUUCUAAAUGUUACAAGCCUUCAAAUUAUAUGACUUGUGAUUCAAUAUAAUAUAAAUGAAUCCUAAAUAUUGUUAUUUUUACUUAACUUCGUGUUUAUUUAUUGUCUUUUACGUAUGAUUUAUUUACCCACCAAGUCUCAACCCUCCUUUGUAUAUGAUGACUUUUAAAUAAGGAUUAAAUACUUUGCAUAUACUAUUCAAUUCAAUAUUUCAGUAAGACACAAAGGAACACAUAAUUACAUGCGUAUCAUGUAUUAACUUGAUAUGUGAGCAUAACAGUGUUUCUUUUGACAUAAUGCACAUCAGAUUUAGAUAGUAUCUGAAUCUUUUAAAAAC